GGUUAAGCGACUAAGCGUACACGGUGGAUGCCCUGGCAGUCAGAGGCGAUGAAGGACGUGCUAAUCUGCGAUAAGCGCCGGUAAGGUGAUAUGAACCGUUAUAACCGGCGAUUUCCGAAUGGGGAAACCCAGUGUGACUCGUCACACUAUCAUUAACUGAAUCCAUAGGUUAAUGAGGCGAACCGGGGGAACUGAAACAUCUAAGUACCCCGAGGAAAAGAAAUCAACCGAGAUUCCCCCAGUAGCGGCGAGCGAACGGGGAUGAGCCCAGAGCCUGAAUCAGCAUGUGUGUUAGUGGAAGCGUCUGGAAAGGCGCGCGAUACAGGGUGACAGCCCCGUACACAAAAGCGCAUAUGCUGUGAGCUCGAUGAGUAGGGCGGGACACGUGGUAUCCUGUCUGAAUAUGGGGGGACCAUCCUCCAAGGCUAAAUACUCCUGACUGACCGAUAGUGAACCAGUACCGUGAGGGAAAGGCGAAAAGAACCCCGGCGAGGGGAGUGAAAAAGAACCUGAAACCGUGUACGUACAAGCAGUGGGAGCCCCAC
rnacentral:rRNA from 1 species